AUAUGUAGCCAUGACAGAAGACAACACUUCAAAAAUGGAUGUGUCUGAAAUUAAACUAUAAACUCCAGAACUUGGAUAUUUCUCACAUCUUCAACCUGGCAGCACAGUGGAUCUAUUCAAUCAGCACAGCUUCAAGAUUUCUGCAGAGCCCAGCUUAAAAGAAAGCGAUCAGCUUUACGGACUCACAGUGAGCCCAGAUACUGUUUUUGCAGGUCCGUGAACAGGCAGAGCACUCAGAUUGGUUGAUCAGAGGAGCAGCUGCUGCAGAGGUACCGUCUGGGGGCCUGUAAUCACCUCGGGUGGGAAAAAUGCCUGAGAUGGAACCUUCGCACUGAGUUUCCCUCCGCCCGAUCUCCAGUUCAUCCUCCCAGACCAGCCUAACAGAAGACAUCCCUCUUC